GUGUAGGUGGUGCGGGCAAGUGGGGCUGGUUAGCUUAUAUGUGUGUAUUUAUUUCAUACACAACAACAGUUGGAGGGAAAUAUUUGACAACGAAAGAGUAUGCACAAAAAACAGGUGCAGAAGAAUGUAGAGAGAGUUCAGCCUUCGUGAGAGAGUAGGGGGCCAGUGCAUUUCCAAAAAAAAGGAAAAUAAAAGUAACGUAUGUAGGACUGUGAGUAGGGAAUGGAUUGGGAGCGAAAAUUUUCUGUGUAGAUCUUUUAAUGUCUUCUCUGUAUGGCUGUAUUACCUAUUUUUAAAUUAAACGGCUUUUUUAAGCGUGUGCGGUGGGAUGUUUCUCUUUCCACUCACACCUUGUCCUAAUUCCCCUUCCAUGCCCUAUAACGGUUUCCCCUUUCAUGCCCUAUAACGGUUUCCCCUUUGUUCUUGAAGAGUUAUUUCAUACACACAUACUGUGUGUGUGUUCUUGAACAGUUAUUCCAUACACAAAUACAGUGUGUGUGUGUGUUGCACUCGCCAGAUGAAUUGGAAUGAUUCUUAUCAACUAAAUGAUAAUUUAUUGCUUGCUUUGUUUCUGACAUUAUUCUAAACUCUUUACAUGAAGGAUCAUAUUUAAUUCUCAUUAUAUGAGAAUAAUUUCAUGUCCAUGAAGAAGACAGUAAGACCACUAGCACCUACAUUUUUAAAAAACUAUCGGCCGGGCGCAGUGGCUCACACCUGUAAUCCCAACACUUUGGGAGGCCAAGGCGGGCAGAUCACAAAGUCAGGAGUUCGAGACCAGCCUGACCAACAUGGUGAAACUCCGUCUCUACUAAAGAUACAAAAACUAGCCGGGCGUGGUGGCGCGCGCCUGUAAUCCCGGCAACUCGGGAGACUGAGGCAGAAGAAUCGCUUGAACCCGGGAGGCACAGGUUGCAGUUAGCCGAGAUCACACCACUGCACUAUAGCCUGGGCAACAGACUCCGUCUCAAAAAAAAUAAAAAACCCUUUCUUAUCUCGUGUUUGUUCUCCCAAAACCCAUUCGUCUGUCCUAAAGAAUCCUAUUUGUUCUCAUACAAACUUUCGUCACCUCUCCGUUUUACCUAGAGUUAGGCACACAAGCCACUAACUGGUUUUUUGUUUCUUUCUUUUCUUGUGUGGUUUUCGUUAUUGUUGUUUUGUUCUGUUUCAUUUUUUGGUCUCAUUACGUUGCCCAGUCGGGUCUUGAACUCCUGGGCUCAAGAAAUCCUCCUGCCUCAGCCUUUCAAAAUGCUGGGAUUACAGGUAUCAACCACUGCGCCCAGACAUAAACCUCUAACCAUUUAGUAGGCUAGCUACUUAUUUUGCUAGCUCCAGCAUCCAUGCAAAUAAGCCUUUUUUGGGAGUGUCCUAUAAAAAGUUUAAUUAGACCCUAUUAGUCGAUGGUGUUGUUGAGUUCUUAUAUGCCCAUGCUGAUUUUCUGUUCCGUUAAUCUGUCUUUUGUCAGUUUAAUUUGCAGGCCCUGGCUGGGCAUGGUGGCUCACACCUGUAAUCCCACCACUUUAAGAGGCUAACGAGGAGGAUCACUUGAGCCCAAGAGUUCGAGACCAGCCUGGGCAACAUAGUGAGACCGCCAUCUCUACAAAAAAUGUUUUGAAAAUUGGCUGAACAUGGUAGCGCAUGCCUGUGGUCCCAGCUACUUCAGAGGCUGAGGUGGGAGGAUCACUUGAGCUCAGGAUGCCACGGCUGCAGUGAGCCAUGAUUGUGCCACUGCACUCAAGCCUGGGUGACAGAGUGAGACCCUGCCUCAAAUAAAUAAUUUUUUGGAGGCCCCCAUAAACUGAACAAAAUAUAAUAAAGAGAAAGCUUUUCCUUCCCAAUACUAGCUUCAUAAAGAACUGGAAAGUGUUCCCUUCUGGUCUAUUAUCUGGAAGAGCUUAUGCAGAUUGCUGUUUGUUCUUUAAGUAGUUGUAGAAUUCUCUGCUGAAACCUUCUCCAACGAAACCUUCUUUGGAGAUCUCUUUUGGGGAAUUUUUAUUGCAAAUUCAAUUUCCUAAUAGUCAUAGUGCUACUCAAAGUAUCUUUUUCUUUAAGAGAUGGGGUCUCGCUCUGUCAGCAGGUGAUUCUUCUGCCUCAGCCUACCCAGUAGCUGGGACUAUAGGCACAUGCCACCACACCUGGCUAAUUUUUGUCUUUUUUGGUAGAGAUGGGGUCUGGCUAUGUUGCCCAGGCUACAAAGUAUCUAUUUAAUAUUGGGUGAGCUAUGGUAGCUGUGUUUUUUUAAAGGAAUUGGUUCAUUUAGUCUAAGUCAUUUAUUUGAAUAGAGUUGUUUAUAGUAUUUCCUUAUAUUCUUUUGUCAUCUUCAGGCUCUCUAGUGCCACCCUGUAUUUCAUUCCUGAUAGAAAGAAUUUAUCCAUUUUCUCUGUUUCUCUUUGUCAAUCUUGCUGGAGGUUUAUCCACUUUAUUGAUCUCUUAAAAUAACUAGUUCUCUGUUUAAUUUUUUUUUUUUUUUGAGAUGGAGUCUCUGUCACUUGGGGUGGAGUGCAGUGACGUGAUCUCGGCUCACUGCAACCUCCGCCUCCUGGGUUCAUAUGAUUCUCCUGCCUCAGCCUCCCGAGUAACUGGGAUUACAGGCGCGCUCCGCUGCACCCAGCUGAUUUUUGUAUUUUUAGUAGAGAUGGGGUUUCACCAUGUUGCCCGGGCCGGCCUUGAACUCCUGACCUCAGGUGACCCACCCACCUCAGCCUCCCAAAGUGCUGGGAUUACAGGCAUAAGCCACCAUGCCCGAUUCUGUUUCAAUUCCAUCAAUUUCUACUCUUUAUUAUUUUCUUUUUUUUUUGAGACAGAGUCUCGCUCUGUCGCCCAGGCUGGAGUGCAGUGGCGCAAUCUCGGCUCACUGCAAGCUCUGCCUCCCGGGUUCACGCCAUUCUCCUGCCUCAGCCUCCUGAGUAGCUGGGACUACAGGCGCUCGCCACUGCACCCAACUAAUUUUUUGUAUUUUUAGUAGAGACAGGGUUUCACCUUGUUAGCCAGGAUGGUCUCGAUCUCCUGACCUCGUGAUCUGCCCGCCUCGGCCUCCCAACGUGCUGGGAUUACAGGUGUGAGCCACCGCACCCGGCCGUCUGCUCUUUAUUAUUUUCUUCUUUCUGCUCGUUUUGGUUUUAUUUUACUCUUCUAGGUUCUUGAGAUGGAGCUUAGAUUAUUAAGAUUUUCCCACUUUUCUAAUGGAUGCAUUUUAGUGCUGUUAACUUUCCCUCUGGGCACUGCUCUUAGCUGUGUACCACAAAUUUUUGGUAUGUUGUAGUUUCAUUUUUAUUUAGUUCAAUGUAUUUUUUAAAUUUCUCUUGUGACUUCCUAAUUGAUUAUCUAGAAGUAUAUGGUUUAAUUUUCAAGUGUUUAGAGAUUUUUCUGUUAUUGUGUUAUUGAUUGCUAGUUUGAAUCUAUAUAGUCAGAGAACGAGCUAUGAUUCAAUUCUCGUAAAUGUGUUAAGAUUUUGUUUAAAUAGUCCGGAAUAUGGUCUCUCUUAGUAUAUAUUCCACAGGCAAUUGAAAGGAUCUGUUGUUGGGUGGAGUGGCAAUUCGGCCCUUUUAGCUGUUGAGUUCUUCUAUGCCCUGCUGAUUUGUCUAGUUGUUCUAUUAAUUUCUUAAGGGAUUUUCUACAGAAUCAGUCAUUUCAUCUGUGAACAAAUAGUUUUAUUUCUUCAUCCCAAUCUAUAUACUUCCUAUUUCCUUUUCCUGUCCUAAUGCAUUAUAUAGGACUUCCAGUAAGAUAUUGGAUAGGAAUGGAAAAAGGACAUCCUUGCCUUCUUCCCAACCUUAGAGCCAAAGUGUCCAGUUUCUCACCCUUAACUAUGAUGUUAGCUGUAGGGUGUUGUUGUUGUUGUUAUUAUUGUUUGUUUGUUUGUUAGUUUUUAGAGGUAGGGUCUUACUUUAUCACCCAGGCUGAAGUACAGUGGUAUGAUCAUAGCUCACUGCAGCCUUGAACUCCUGAGCUCAAUUGAUCCUCCUGCCUCAGCUUCCAGAGUAGUGGGGACUACAGGUAUGCACCACCAUGCUUUAAUAAUUUUUUUUUAAUUUUUUCGUAGACAUGGGGUCUGGUCAUGUUGCUCAGGCUAGUCUUGAACUCCUGGCCUCAAGGGAUCCUCCUGCCUACGCCUCCCAAAGUGCUGGAAUUAUAGGCGUGAGCCACUGUGCCUGGCCUUGUUUUGGUUUUGGUUUUUUAAGAGACAUGGUCUUGCUCUGUCACCCAGGCUGGAGUGCAAUGACAUGACCACAGCUCACUGCAGCCUUAACCUACUGGGCUCAAGCAAUCUUCCCACCUCAGCCUCCCAAGUAGCUGGGACUAUAGGUGUGUGUCAUCCAGCCUA
rnacentral:lncRNA from 10 species